UGGGGAAUAUUGGACAAUGGGCGCAAGCCUGAUCCAGCCAUGCCGCGUGAGUGAUGAAGGCCCUAGGGUUGUAAAGCUCUUUCACCGGUGAAGAUAAUGACGGUAACCGGAGAAGAAGCCCCGGCUAACUUCGUGCCAGCAGCCGCGGUAAUACGAAGGGGGCUAGCGUUGUUCGGAUUUACUGGGCGUAAAGCGCACGUAGGCGGACUAUUAAGUCAGGGGUGAAAUCCCGGGGCUCAACCCCGGAACUGCCUUCGAUACAGGUAGUCUUGAGUUCGAGAGAGGUGAGUGGAAUUCCGAGUGUAGAGGUGAAAUUCGUAGAUAUUCGGAGGAACACCAGUGGCGAAGGCGGCUCACUGGCUCGAUACUGACGCUGAGGUGCGAAAGCGUGGGGAGCAAACAGG
rnacentral:rRNA from 1 species